CCCCUGGUGGUCCAGUGGUUAAGCAUCUGCCUUGCAGUGCAGAGGGCUCAGGUUCGAUUCCUGGUCUGGGAA
rnacentral:tRNA from 1 species